rnacentral:rRNA from 1 species
UACGUAGGGGGCGAGCGUUGUCCGGAUUCAUUGGGCGUAAAGAGCUCGUAGGCGGCUUGGCAAGCCGGGUGUGAAAACUCCAGGCUCAACCUGGAGACGCCACCCGGGACUGCUAUGGCUAGAGUCCGGUAGGGGAUCACGGAAUUCCUGGUGUAGCGGUGAAAUGCGCAGAUAUCAGGAGGAACACUGGUGGCGAAGGCGGUGAUCUGGGCCGGCACUGACGCUGAGGAGCGAAAGCGUGGGUAGCAAACAGG